CUGGGCCCUGGCCCCAUUCAUUGCCGUGGCCGGCGGGCACUGGGGCCCCGUGUUUUCAGAGUCAUGGAGGCGCUAAUUCCUGUCAUUAACAAGCUCCAGGACGUCUUCAACACGGUGGGCGCCGACAUCAUCCAGCUGCCUCAAAUCGUCGUAGUGGGAACGCAGAGCAGCGGAAAGAGCUCAGUGCUAGAAAGCCUGGUGGGGAGGGACCUGCUUCCCAGAGGUACUGGAAUUGUCACCCGGAGACCUCUCAUUCUGCAACUGGUCCAUGUUUCACAAGAAGAUAAACGAAAAACAACAGGAGAAGAAAAUGGGGUGGAAGCAGAAGAAUGGGGUAAAUUUCUUCACACCAAAAAUAAGCUUUACACGGAUUUUGAUGAAAUUCGACAAGAAAUUGAAAAUGAAACAGAAAGAAUUUCAGGAAAUAAUAAGGGAGUAAGCCCUGAACCAAUUCAUCUUAAGAUUUUUUCACCCAACGUUGUCAAUUUGACACUUGUGGAUUUGCCAGGAAUGACCAAGGAUACCACACUCUACAGGUUUAUCUCCAGUCUCACUGGCCACUCCUUUUCAGUCUCUUUUGCUGUUUCUUCUCAUCUCCCCAAUGUCUAAACAGUGCCUGUAGGUGAUCAACCUAAGGAUAUUGAGCUUCAAAUCAGAGAGCUCAUUCUUCGGUUCAUCAGUAACCCUAAUUCCAUUAUCCUCGCUGUCACUGCUGCUAAUACAGAUAUGGCAACAUCAGAGGCACUUAAA
rnacentral:sRNA from 1 species